rnacentral:rRNA from 1 species
CAGCCGCCGCGGGAAUACGUAGGUCCCGAGCGUUGUCCGGAUUUAUUGGGCGUAAAGCGAGCGCAGGCGGUUAGAUAAGUCUGAAGUUAAAGGCUGUGGCUUAACCAUAGUACGCUUUGGAAACUGUUUAACUUGAGUGCAAGAGGGGAGAGUGGAAUUCCAUGUGUAGCGGUGAAAUGCGUAGAUAUAUGGAGGAACACCGGUGGCGAAAGCGGCUCUCUGGCUUGUAACUGACGCUGAGGCUCGAAAGCGUGGGGAGCAAACAGGAUUAGAGACCCCAGUAGUCCCUGUCUCUUAUACC